rnacentral:rRNA from 1 species
CAAAUGACUCUCAGCAACGGAUAUCUUGGCUCUUGCAACGAUGAAGAACGCAGCGAAAUGCGAUACCUAGUGUGAAUUGCAGAAUUCCGCGAAUCAUCGAGUUUUUGAACGCAAGUUGCGCCCGAGGCUCGUUCCGAGGGCAUGCCUGCCUGAGCGUCCGCUCCAACCCACCCACAAAUCUCUC